rnacentral:rRNA from 1 species
CGGGUGAGUAACACAUCGGAACGUGCCCAGUAGUGGGGGAUAGCCCGGCGAAAGCCGGAUUAAUACCGCAUACGACCUACGGGUGAAAGCGGGGGAUCGCAAGACCUCGCGCUAUUGGAGCGGCCGAUGUCGGAUUAGCUUGUUGGUGGGGUAAUGGCCUACCAAGGCGACGAUCGGUAGCUGGUCUGAGAGGAUGAUCAGCCACACUGGGACUGAGACACGGCCCAG